GAAUUCGCCCUUAGAGUUUGAUCCUGGCUCAGGAUAAACGCUGGCGGCGUGCCUAACACAUGCAAGUCGAACGUCCUCCUGUUUUUCGGAACAGGAGGGAGUGGCGGACGGGUGAGUAACACGUGGGAACCUACCCUGCGGUGAGGAAUACCGGCGAGAAAUCGACGACAAGACCGCAUAGCCUCUCUGCUUCAGCAGCCGGGAGGAAAGCUUCUCUUUUGGGGAGGCGCCACAGGAUGGGCCUGCGGCCGAUUAGCUGGUUGGUGAGGUAAGGGCUCACCAAGGCGACGAUCGGUAGCUGGUCUGAGAGGAUGAUCAGCCACACUGGGAUUGAGAACGGCCCAGACUCCUACGGGAGGCAGCAGUGAGGAAUUUUCCACAAUGGGGGCAACCCUGAUGGAGCAACGCCGCGUGCAGGAGGACGGUCCUCGGAUCGUAAACUGCUUUUCUGGGGGAAGAGGACGGACGGUACCCCAGGAAGAAGCCCCGGCUAACUACGUACCAGCAGCCGCGGUAAUACGUAGGGGGCGAGCGUUGUCCGGAGUUACUGGGCGUAAAGCGCACGCAGGCGGUUUCUUAAGUGUGCGGUGACAGCUGGUGGCUUAACCACCAGAGGCUCGCACAGACUGGGGGACUGGAGGGCCAGAGAGGGACCUGGAAUUCCGGGUGUAGUGGUGAAAUGCGUAGAUAUCCGGAGGAACACCGAAGGCGCAGGCAAGGUCCUGGCUGGCUCCUGACGCUCGGGUGCGAAAGCUAGGGGAGCGAACGGGAUUAGAUACCCCGGUAGUCCUAGCCGUAAACGAUGACCACUAGGUGUGGGAGGUAUCGACCCCUUCCGUGCCGCAGCCAACGCAAUAAGUGGUCCGCCUGGGGAGUACGGUCGCAAGAUUAAAACUUAAAGGAAUUGACGGAAGGGCGAAUUC
rnacentral:rRNA from 1 species